rnacentral:misc_RNA from 1 species
GCCCACGUAGGACCCCUCUCACUCACACUCACUCUCUCGCUCGCUCUCCGCACACACCCGUGGUGUCCCCUUGGCUGUCGCCCUCUUUCUUUUUCUCUUCCCGCUGACAGCAGAAUGGCGUCCGAGUACACCGCCGCGCCUCGCGAGUCCUUCACACUGCCUCGCCAGGAGUCCAAGUUCACUGUGUCCGCGGUGGAGCACAUCAUCAAGGAUGUUUGCGAAUACAUGGUUGGCCCGGAGCGGCCGUACGUCUACGAGGAGGCACAGCCGCUCAUCAAAGACUUGUGUGCUGAGAUCCAGCAACGGACUGUGCGUCUCGGCUACGAGCGGUACAAGCUGGUAACCCAUGCGACGGUGACGGAGGCCGCCAGCCAAGGCAUGCGCGUUGCCUCGCGUUGCCUGUGGGACCCAGAGACGGACAACUACGCGACCUACACGUACUCGAACCAGUACAUGCACGUCACCGUUGUUGUCUUCGGCGUUUACUGGGAGUAAAGAGAGGACGAGAAGCAAGCGAAGUGGGGGUCGGGGGGUGAGGUGAGAGACUGACGCGAGGGCACAUCGAUGAGACACCGGCAGGGCGGCGGGGAAGGAGAAAAGCUAUCAAAAGGAGCCUCGAGAUGUGAUCGCCGUGCGUGUGCUCAUGUUCAACGCACAUGCGCGCACGUCACGCGAGCUCCUCUGCCCAGUGCUCCUCCCUCCCCUCUCCUUCUCCAUUUUCUCCAGUUGCCUGUCCUUUGCGUCUCCCACUCGCCUUGUACCCCCCCCCCGUUCACUUCGAGGCAGGAGGAACGCGUUGUACUCCUGCGGCGUAUGCCGCUGAUGCUGCUGCGCGCAAGUCGUGCUCUGUUUUGUGACGACUGUUGGCGCUUCUGUUGAGCAGAGGCGGUGAAAGGGAUUGCUGUGUGUGCGUGUGUACGUGUGCCUGUGGGUCUCUAUGUGUGCUCACCAACUGCAGCACCCAGCCGAUAGGCUGCGAGCGUGGCUGCAGGGUGCGAUAGCCAACGGUGCGCUCUUCUGAUGUACAAGAGAACUCGAGAGCCGUUUCGCACCGAGACAAGAGAGACAGAAAGCGAGGUUACAUGUGCCUCUGUGGGCAGGGGAAGGUGCAGUGCCGCCAGCUGCCUCAUCCGCGCCGCUGCUGUGCCGUUUCUUUUCUUACUCGGGGGCAAACAGACGCACGCGUGUGCGUAGUUGAGAGUUGGCGAGUGGGACGCACGCCCCGAAACAGUGUGGCACGUGGCGACCACAAUACGGAAGACUGCAUGCGUCUGUGUCUCAAUACUGCGUUGCGGGCACCGCCUACUCUGCCCCCUUUUUUGUUGGUACUUGGGAAUGCUGAACCGUCUUGAUGCAACGCCUCCCUUUCUCUCUCCCUUCUUGCGCUCCCUCUCUGUUGUAUAACGCACAACAACACCUCACACAUCCCUACAACUAUAACAAAAAUAAUAAUCGAACGACGACACGCACGCACAUGUGCUGACAG